rnacentral:rRNA from 1 species
GGGGAAUAUUGGGCAAUGGACGCAAGUCUGACCCAGCAACGCCGCGUGAAGGAAGAAGGCUUUCGGGUUGUAAACUUCUUUUAACAGGGAAGAGAGGAAGACGGUACCUGUUGAAUAAGCCAGGGCUAACUACGUGCCAGCAGCCGCGGUAAUACGUAGGUGGCAAGCGUUGUCCGGAUUUACUGGGUGUAAAGGGCGUGUAGCCGGGAAGGCAAGUCAGAUGUGAAAUCUGGAGGCUCAACCUCCAAACUGCAUUUGAAACUGCUUUUCUUGAGUAUCGGAGAGGUAAUCGGAAUUCCUUGUGUAGCGGUGAAAUGCGUAGAUAUAAGGAAGAACACCGGUGGCGAAGGCGGCUCUCUGGACCGAUACUGACGCUGAGACGCGAAAGCGUGGGUAGCAAAC